rnacentral:tRNA from 1 species
GCGGGGAUAGCUCAGUUGGGAGAGCGUCAGACUGAAGUCCAACUUCAGGAAUCUGAAAAAUCUGAAGGUCGUGCGUUCGAUCCGCACUCACCGCA